UAUUUUCAGACCCUUUAAAUGAGGGUUGGUGUCUUGUUGUAAAAGCUGACUUACGUGAUACAUUUGAUAUCAAUGGUGAUGUGGCACAGGAACAUCGCCAACCUAUACAAAUGGGAGAAGGGGAUGAUGCUGAUGCUGAUCUUAACAUGACAAGAACUGACUUGGAUGGAAUAGUAGUUGAGACUCCUAUUUGAACGGAAGUUUCCUUUUUCUUGCCUACAUUCUCUCUCCAUAAGUUUAUCGUGUCUUCUUAUGGUUUGACUAGUCAACAAUGGUUUUGAUUGAAGUAUAAGUCUUCCAGAAGGUUUUUCUUUUUUUUUUAAGUUUUCUGUUGUCCUUUAUUAUUUUCCUUACUGAACAAGUUAGUAUCUUUUAUUUUUAUUUUAUGUGUCUAGGUUGUAACCUAUACUAGUUUAACAGAAACGUUCAACAGGAAAGCACGCAAGCAGAGAUGAAAGCUCAACAAGAAGGCACUCAAGCGAUGAUAGCUAUGCUUAACACUAUGAAAUCCGAAAUGGACCGAGUAACACAAGCCUCGAUUAAAGGAAACUCACAGAGUUCUGCACAAUUGGGUGAAGAUUAAGGCCAUUGCAUAAGCUUCCCUCAUCAUUUUUUGAUAUAUGGUUGUGAUGCAAGCCCUACGUACAUGAGGAGAAUUGCAAUAGUUGGUCCUAGGAUAUAUUUUCCAUCUUUUAUGACAUUUGAUAUCUUUUGGUUU